UGGGAUCGAAGCAGUAAUGAAAAGUCUC
rnacentral:piRNA from 1 species